GACUCUCGGCAACGGAUAUCUUGGCUCCCGUCACGAUGAAGAACGUAGCGAAAUGCGAUAGUUGGUGUGAAUUGCAGAAUCCCGUGAAUCAUCGAGUUUUUGAACGCAAGUUGCGCCCGAGGCCAUUCGGCCAAGGGCACGUUUGCCUGGGCGUCACGCU
rnacentral:rRNA from 1 species